AUGAUAGCUAAGAGGUAGCGGAAGCUUCCAUUCCGAGCUUCAUUUGGAAUGGAAGGCAAUGGACGCAGGAGAAAGCCCUUCUCCGAAGUCACGAAUUUUUUCGCGCGAUCCCUCUCUUCGUCCUCGGCCCCUCCUCUUCUCUGACGCGCAAGACCAAGCUCCAUCACAAGCGCUCGGAGCGGAAAUCUUCUCCGUCAUCGAACAUCGACGCGGUCUCCGGUCGAUCCAGCUCCAGCAUCGGAUCCACCGCCCCUGGAAACCCCGGAAUCCGAGAAAUCCGCAAAUCGAAUCCUCGAGGUGAUGAGAUAUCCCAACACCACAAAAUAGCCGGAGAUGAGAGUCUUGGUGGUCCUAUAUACCUCAGGAUUAUAUUGAGCAACAGAGAGCCUACUUGCAGAAAUAGAUGCAUUCGAACUGCCCGAGGAAGCAGUCUCAGAGAGUGAACUGGAGCAGCCAAGCUGAUCCAGUUAUUGAUUUCCAUUAUUCUCUUUGCAGAACAGACAGUACAGACUACUGACUAAGCACGGUUUCUGUAAUGGGUGUACCACAUCAAAAACAUCUAGAAAUUUUCGCAGAAGGCAUGGUUACUGCAACGUAAAUCCAGCCACGGUGGCUCACAUAUUGAAGCAAACCAUUAGCAGAAUCUGACACCUUUUCUUGAUCAUUAUUUGUUUUCCUUUUUCCUUUUUAACUUCUAUGUUGGGGUUUACCAAAGUACUUUCUGAAAAUGCUACUCAAUCAGGUCAUGUUAGCUCCUUCAAGGGUACGACUACUACACAAUAUUUUUCUAUAGCUCAGCAGUAAUUGGAUCAUGUUGCUCUUUUGUGCUUUG